GAACGCUGGCGGCGUGCUUAACACAUGCAAGUCGAACGAUGAACCACUUCGGUGGGGAUCAGUGGCGAACGGGUGAGUAACACGUGGGCAAUCUGCCCUGCACUCUGGGACAAGCCCUGGAAACGGGGUCUAAUACCGGAUACUGAUCCUCGCAGGCAUCUGCGAGGUUCGAAAGCUCCGGCGGUGCAGGAUGAGCCCGCGGCCUAUCAGCUAGUUGGUGAGGUAACGGCUCACCAAGGCGACGACGGGUAGCCGGCCUGAGAGGGCGACCGGCCACACUGGGACUGAGACACGGCCCAGACUCCUACGGGAGGCAGCAGUGGGGAAUAUUGCACAAUGGGCGAAAGCCUGAUGCAGCGACGCCGCGUGAGGGAUGACGGCCUUCGGGUUGUAAACCUCUUUCAGCAGGGAAGAAGCGAAAGUGACGGUACCUGCAGAAGAAGCGCCGGCUAACUACGUGCCAGCAGCCGCGGUAAUACGUAGGGC
rnacentral:rRNA from 1 species